AAUCAACGCUGGCGGCGUGCCUAACACAUGCAAGUCGAACGCGAAAGCCCCGCCAGGGGUAAGUAGAGUGGCAAACGGGUGAGUAACACGUGGGUGACCUGCCUUCGAGUGGGGGAUAACGUCCCGAAAGGGACGCUAAUACCGCAUGACAUCCUGCUUUUGAAAAAGCGGAGAUCAAAGCUGGGGAUCGCAAGACCUAGCGCUUGAAGAGGGGCCCGCGCCUGAUUAGGUAGUUGGUGGGGUUACGGCUCACCAAGGCGACGAUCAGUAUCCGGCCUGAGAGGGCGGACGGGCACCCUGGGACUGUGACCCGGCCCAGACUCCUACGGGAGGCAGCCGUGGGGAAUUGUUCGCAAUGGGCGCAAGCCUGACGACGCAACGCCGCGUGGAGGACGAAGAUCUUCGGGUCGUAAACGCCGGUCGAGCGGGACGAACGCUUCGCGGAUGAAUAAUCCGCGGAAUUGACGGUACCGCUAAAGGAAGCCCCGGCUAACUCCGUG
rnacentral:rRNA from 1 species